rnacentral:rRNA from 1 species
GAUGAACGCUGGCGGCGUGCCUAAUACAUGCAAGUCGAGCGAACGGACGAGAAGCUUGCUUCUCUGAUGUUAGCGGCGGACGGGUGAGUAACACGUGGAUAACCUACCUAUAAGACUGGGAUAACUUCGGGAAACCGGAGCUAAUACCGGAUAAUAUUUUGAACCGCAUGGUUCAAAAGUGAAAGACGGUCUUGCUGUCACUUAUAGAUGGAUCCGCGCUGCAUUAGCUAGUGGGUAAGGUAACGGCUUACCAAGGCAACGAUGGAUAGCCGACCUGAGAGGGUGAUAGGCCACACUGGAACUGAGAAACGGUCCAGACUCCUACGGGAGGCAGCAGUAGGGAAUCUUCCGCAAUGGGCGAAAGCCUGACGGAGCAACGCCGCGUGAGUGAUGAAGGUCUUCGGAUCGUAAAACUCUGUUAUUAGGGAGGAACAUAUGUGUAAGUAACUGUGCACAUCUUGACGGUACCUAAUCAGAAAGCCACGGCUAACUACGUG